UACGAAGGGUGCUAGCGUUGUUCGGAAUCACUGGGCGUAAAGCGCGCGUAGGCGGCGACACAAGUCAGGGGUGAAAUCCUUGGGCUCAACCCAAGAAUUGCCUUUGAAACUAGGUUGCUGGAGUAUUGGAGGGGAUGGCGGAAUUGCUAAUGUAGAGGUGAAAUUCGUAGAUAUUAGCAGGAACACCGGUGGCGAAGGCGGCCAUCUGGCCAAUUACUGACGCUGAGGCGCGAAAGCACGGGGAUCAAACAGG
rnacentral:rRNA from 1 species